AUUGAACGCUGGCGGCAGGCUUAACACAUGCAAGUCGAGCGAGUGAGUUCUUCGGAACGAUCUAGCGGCGGACGGGUGAGUAACACGUGGGCAACCUGCCUCAUAGAGGGGAAUAGCCUCCCGAAAGGGAGAUUAAUACCGCAUAACAUCGUUGAAGGGCAUCCUUCGAUGAUCAAAGGAGCAAUCCGCUAUGAGAUGGGCCCGCGGCGCAUUAGCUAGUUGGUGAGGUAAUGGCUCACCAAGGCGACGAUGCGUAGCCGACCUGAGAGGGUGAUCGGCCACAUUGGGACUGAGACACGGCCCAGACUCCUACGGGAGGCAGCAGUGGGGAAUAUUGCACAAUGGGGGAAACCCUGAUGCAGCAACGCCGCGUGAGUGAUGACGGCCUUCGGGUUGUAAAGCUCUGUCUUUGGGGACGAUAAUGACGAUACCCAAGGAGGAAGUCACGGCUAACUACGUGCCAGCCGCCGCCGUAACAC
rnacentral:rRNA from 1 species